rnacentral:lncRNA from 1 species
CUUUAGUGUCUCAAAUUUUAUAGGCAUUUAUUUUUCAUUUUCAUUUCUAUUAUAUUUAUAGAGAGCUGUGUGAACAGACAGCAUUCACACCACUUUCAGAGAAAGUGUUGUCUGUAAGUUGUAUUCCCUUAGCACGUUGAAUUUUAAGACAAAUCUAGACUUCUUGCACAGUCUUAUUGUUCAGAGUCAACCACAGCAGACAUGAUAUUUAAGGAGCAGAUAGAAGGGGGAAGACAGGGUUGCUGUGAAAAUCCUUCUCUCUUACCACUUGCCAGAGGUUAAGUAAAGCCCUAAGGGAGCUGGACAGGAGUAUGAUCAAAUGGAUAGUCUGUCACUUGCUCGCUUUACUCAAAGUCAACCAGGAGUUACCUCUUAGUGGAAAGUUAUUUCACUUGACUACCAGAAACAGAAGGAGGAGGGGCUGUGGUUUCUUUCCAUACCUGCAGGAGGUCAGUGGCCACUGCAGGAACAGGAAGGGAAAUGUGCAGAUUUCAAGAGAGAUUUAUUCUUUUUCGUGCAAUAAGAUAUGCAAGAAAUACACCUAAACUCAUUUAAUGAAGAAGAUGAACAAAAGUGGAAAACAAAUGAUUACUCAUGAGCCAGACCAGCUUAGUGUGCACACUUGUCUGAAAGACUGAUGAGAUAAUACCUGCAAAAGAAUGGUCUGCUCUGACAGGAAAAGGAGAACCAAUGUAUCCAGAACACCCAAUAGCUCAUCUGGCAGUAAACGAGGGGUCAAAAUGUCAAUCUUCCAGUCCUGCCCCUUGUGGUGUUAGAAAUCUAUUAAAGUCCUAACAUCUAUUCAAUAGCAUUAUAGGCAUUUAAAAUUAAAAAAAAAAUAAAAAUUAAAAAUUAAAAAAUAGAAAAUUAAAA